AUAGAAUCUGCGAUUGGAUCAAAGUUCAAUGAUAAAAUGCCUUGUAUACUAAAAAAUAGGAUUGGGUCAUAGGACCUUCGGUUGCUUUAUUUGUUGUACACUUCAGCAAAGUCUGGAGCAUGUUGGCAGUGAGACUUGCUAGCAUAGUUCAUUUUAGCCAAUAAUGCUUUUCUUCUUCAAACAUGAAAUACCUCGUUUUCUAGCA
rnacentral:misc_RNA from 1 species